rnacentral:rRNA from 1 species
GAGGGUGAUCGGCCACAUUGGAACUGAGACACGGUCCAAACUCCUACGGGAGGCAGCAGUGGGGAAUAUUGCACAAUGGGCGAAAGCCUGAUGCAGCAACGCCGCGUGAGUGAUGAAGGCCUUCGGGUCGUAAAACUCUGUCCUCAAGGAAGAUAAUGACGGUACUUGAGGAGGAAGCCCCGGCUAACUACGUGCCAGCAGCCGCGGUAAUACGUAGGGGGCUAGCGUUAUCCGGAUUUACUGGGCGUAAAGGGGGCGUAGGCGGUCUUUCAAGUCAGGAGUGAAAGGCUACGGCUCAACCGUAGUAAGCUCUUGAAACUGGGAGACUUGAGUGCAGGAGAGGAGAGUGGAAUUCCUAGUGUAGCGGUGAAAUGCGUAGAUAUUAGGAGGAACACCAGUUGCGAAGGCGGCUC